CCCACCCGCCCACUCCCCAGGUCAGAGCCACUCGUGCCCCAGCCUCUCCCCCCACGCUCGCCAACGUGCACGCCACAUCGCUCUAUCCCCAGAUGCCCUGAAGGACAACACUUAUGGUCUGAGUAAUAGUCAGAAAUAAUGACUUAGACAAAGCUCCUCUAAGGAGAGAUGGCACACACAUACAGGAAAGGAAGCCACAUGAAGACACAGAGAGACACAGAGAGAGGAUGGCCAUGUGAAAACAGAAGCAGAGAAUAGAGCGAUGCUGCCCCAAACCAUGGAAUGCCAAGAGCCACCUGAAGCUAGAAGAGGCAAAGAAGGAUUUUUCUCUACAGACUUCAAAGAAAGCACAGCCCUGCUAACACUGUAGUUUUGAACUUCUCCAUAACUGUGAGAGAAUAAAUUUCUAUCAUUUUAA